rnacentral:lncRNA from 1 species
ACAGCAGUUGCUGGAGUGCAGCCCACUCUGAUUCAGUAUGACCUCAUCUUAACUAUCUGCAAAGAUCUUGUUUGCCAAAAAAUAUGUCACACUGAGUUUUCGCACGGAUAUGAGUUAUGGGGAGACACUGUUCAACCCAAUACUAGAUUGAGUCCAUUGUGGCUGUGUGAAAGGAUGAGAGACCAAGAGAAGGAAGGAGGCAUGCAGGAAGAUGGCUCAGAGGGGUGAGAACGCAGAUUUCAGAGAGAAGGCUGCGCAUGAGAGUUAUGCAAAUAAGAGCAAAGUCAUCAAGUUGGAGUCUCCUUGGACCAUCUCUUUGUUUAAGUGUUGUAACAUAUAUAUAUAUAUAUAUAUACUAUAUACAGUUCCUCCAUCACUGACCAAUUCAGUUAAUGACCUUGUCGCAGACAUAGGACUCAGCCAUGAAACAGGGAAUGUAUGUUCUCCCCAC